rnacentral:rRNA from 1 species
GAUGCAGCAACGCCGCGUGAGGGAUGACGGCCUUCGGGUUGUAACCUCUUUUAGUAGGAAGAAGCGAAAGUGACGGUACCUGCAGAAAAAGCACCGGCUAACUACGUGCCAGCAGCCGCGGUAAUACGUAGGGUGCAAGCGUUGUCCGGAAUUAUUGGGCGUAAAGAGCUCGUAGGCGGCUUGUCGCGUCUGCUGUGAAAUCCCGGGGCUCAACCCCGGGCCUGCAGUGGGUACGGGCAAGCUAGAGUGCGGUAGGGGAGAUUGGAAUUCCUGGUGUAGCGGUGGAAUGCGCAGAUAUCAGGAGGAACACCGAUGGCGAAGGCAGAUCUCUGGGCCGCUACUGACGCUGAGGAGCGAAAGCAUGGGGAGCGAACAGGAUUAGAUACCCUGGUAGUCCAUGCCGUAAACGUUGGGAACUAGAUGUAGGGCCUGUUCCACGGGUUCUGUGUCGUAGCUAACGCAUUAAGUUCCCCGCCUGGGGAGUACGGCCGCAAGGCUAAAACUCAAAGGAAUUGACGGGGGCCCGCACAAGCGGCGGAGCAUGCGGAUUAAUUCGAUGCAACGCGAAGAACCUUACCAAGGCUUGACAUAGCCGAGAACGCUGUAGAGAUACAGAACUCUUUGGACACUCGGUUACAGGUGGUGCAUGGUUGUCGUCAGCUCGUGUCGUGAGAUGUUCGGUUAAGUCCGGCAACGAGCGCAACCCUCGUCCUAUGUUGCCAGCACGUUAUGGUGGGAACUCAUGGGAUACUGCCGUGGUCAACACGGAGGAAGGUGGGGAUGACGUCAAAUCAUCAUGCCCCUUAUGUCUUGGGCUUCACGCAUGCUACAAUGGCCGAUACAAAGGGCUGCGAUACCGCGAGGUGGAGCGAAUCCCAAAAAGUCGGUCUCAGUUCGGAUUGGGGUCUGCAACUCGACCCCAUGAAGUCGGAGUCGCUAGUAAUCGCAGAUCAGCAACGCUGCGGUGAAUACGUUCCCGGGCCUUGUACACACCGCCCGUCAAGUCAUGAAAGUCGGUAACACCCGAAGCCGGUGGCCUAACCCUU